GUUCGUGUAUCCUCGAUCAUGUGAAAAAUGGAUACUCAAAUCAAUUGGAAGAGACUGGAGGAAAUUUAAGUCUAGUUUGAAAGAUGCUUUCUUCAAACCCGCCAUUGAAAAAAAUCCAAACAUCAAGCGAAAGGCUUUGUAUAAGCUCUGUCCAGAAGAUGUGGACAACGAUCAAUGGCGUGGGCUUGUUAAAUAUUGGAAGUCCAAAAAAGGAAGGGCCCUUGCUGAGAAGAACAUAAUUAGUCGUUCCCUCGUGAAGGAUUCACAUAAUGCUGGCACAAAGAGUUAUGCUUGUUGGGGCGAAGACAUGAGGCAAGCUGAUCCUGAAAAGAAACGACCACACAGAUCAAAGGUUUAUUUAGCAACUCACAAGAAGAAGGACGAUGCUGAUGCGAAAAAUAAAGAUAGAAAUAAGCGCCUGGAUCGAUUGGAGAAUCUAAUAACCGAACUACCAGAGUUGGCACAAAAUUUGAAUGGAAGAGUCGCAUGGGAAGGUGAUGCCCUGCAGGAAGUGUUAGGGAAAGAAAAGAUUGGACAAGUGCAUGGCAUGGGUUUGCUUCCAACUCCUAAGCAAGUCUAUGGUCGGACGCCACGGUAUCUAAAACAUCAAUAUGGCUACAACAGAUGGAUCAUCAUAUGAAGUUGAACAUGACGUUUGGGAGGUAAUAGCAAAGAUGAAGGAGCAUAUAAAAAAGCAAGACCAGAUUAUUAAAGAUAUGAAUAACAAAGAAGGCUAUGUCAAUAAUGGCAUAGAAGAGGAAAACCUCUAAUCAAAUGAUAAUGGUAUUUCUCGGUCACCACUACUGCUUGGUAAAACAAAGAGAAUCCAGUGCAAUGGACCCAUUGAGGCACUCUCGUCUAUGCAACAUGACAUUCCUGAGGAUAAUAAUUUAUCGCGUUCGCACGAAAAGGUUGGCGACCAUGAUGUCAACCAAUUACAAAUUCAACAAAAUUCAUCAUCACCACAAGACCUUGUUAUUGAUUCUGUGCUAGAGCUGAGGGAAACGAGGAAUAUUACGGGUGAAUCUGUUUCAAGACCGAACUAGCAAAGGACUAGAACUGAACACCCACACCGCUCAAAAAGAAGGCGUUCUUCUUCCAUCAAGGUUGCUUCCAAAGUAGUCUUAAAGACUUCAACAUAUCCCAACAAGCGGAAUGUUGCGUAUGGUACUAUUCGGAGUACUGAUCCAAGAACUAAGGCUGGUGGUAUUGAGUUAGGUGCUGAAUUUGCUCUUGUGCGCAUAGACGAACCUAUUCUUGAUAAUGAGGAGUUGGUAAGGGAAGUUUCUGAUUGCAAGACAAUUGGCGAGGCUUUCACUUCAGGAUACUUAAUUGCCUCGCCUUCAGCUUUUAUUCGAGAGAAGGAUGGUUGAUUUGCAGUUGAAUUCUUGGAUCAAGAAGCAAAUAAAAUUUGAAGAUUUUAGCUACCAAUAGUUGUAGUUUACAUUGAUAGAUUUAAAAGUGUAAUAUCAUCCAGAACAUCUUUUUCUUUCAUCGAAUUGAUGCAAAUGCGACAGUGUAAUAUUCCCCAUAGUUGUGUUUUCUAUCCUCAAAAUUAUAUGGCUGAUAUCUUUAUUGUAAUGCAUAUGUAUCAUACACUCUUCUAUGUUCAUAAUAAAUAUCUUC